AAGAAGAGAGAGAGAGAGAGAGAGAGAGAGAGAGAGUAUUAAUUCAAAGGUGCUUUGAUGCUGCUACUGCUCUUGCUGCUCUUCUCUUUAUUUUACAAAUUUUAGAACCACAACUUUGAUGACAGUACAAAAACCUGCACAAGCAGCAGCAACCUUCUCUCUCUCUCUCUCUCUCUCUCUCUCUCUCUCU
rnacentral:miRNA from 1 species